rnacentral:rRNA from 1 species
AUACGUAGGGUGCAAGCGUUAAUCGGAAUUACUGGGCGUAAAGCGUGCGCAGGCGGUUUUGUAAGACAGUGGUGAAAUCCCCGGGCUCAACCUGGGAACUGCCAUUGUGACUGCAAGGCUGGAGUGCGGCAGAGGGGGAUGGAAUUCCGCGUGUAGCAGUGAAAUGCGUAGAUAUGCGGAGGAACACCGAUGGCGAAGGCAAUCCCCUGGGCCGGCACUGACGCUCAUGCACGAAAGCGUGGGGAGCAAACAGGAUUAGAUACCCUGGUAGUCCACGCCCUAAACGAUGUCAACUGGUUGUUGGGGAUUUAUUUUCUCAGUAACGAAGCUAACGCGUGAAGUUGACCGCCUGGGGAGUACGGCCGCAAGGUUAAAACUCAAAGGAAUUGACGGGG